UACGUAGGGUGCAAGCGUUGUCCGGAAUUAUUGGGCGUAAAGAGCUCGUAGGCGGUCUGUCGCGUCUGCUGUGAAAUCCCGGAGCUCAACUCCGGGCCUGCAGUCGAUACGGGCAGACUGGAGUUCGGCAGGGGAGACUGGAAUUCCUGGUGUAGCGGUGAAAUGCGCAGAUAUCAGGAGGAACACCGGUGGCGAAGGCGGGUCUCUGGGCCGAUACUGACGCUGAGGAGCGAAAGCGUGGGGAGCGAACAGG
rnacentral:rRNA from 1 species